rnacentral:pre_miRNA from 1 species
UUAGUACUCCCUCCGUCUGGAAUUACUUGUCGCAUAAAUGGGUGUAUGUCGAUAUAUUUUAGUUCUAGAUACAUCCAUUUAUAUCCAUGCAACAAGUAAUUCGGGACUGGGGAAGUAGUAU